UACGUAGGGACCAAGCGUUGUUCGGAUUUACUGGGCGUAAAGGGCGCGUAGGCGGCGUGUUAAGUCAGCUGUGAAAUCUCCGAGCUUAACUCGGAACGGUCAGCUGAUACUGAUGUGCUAGAGUGCAGAAGGGGCAAUCGGAAUUCCUGGUGUAGCGGUGAAAUGCGCAGAUAUCAGGAGGAACACCGAUGGCGAAGGCAGGUCUCUGGGCAUUAACUGUCGCUGAGGAGCGAAAGCAUGGGGAGCGAACAGG
rnacentral:rRNA from 1 species